rnacentral:rRNA from 1 species
CUGGUCCUCAAACGGGGGCAUGUGCACGGCUCUGUUUACACAUCCACUCACACCUGUGCACCCUCUGUAGUUCUAUGGCGUGGGGGACACUGUCCUCCUGCUGUGGUUCUACAUCUUUACACACACACUGUUAUAAAGUCUCAUGGAAUGUAUAUAGCGUUUAACGCAAUACAAUACAACUUUCAGCAACGGAUCUCUUGGCUCUCGCAUCGAUGAAGAACGCAGCGAAAUGCGAUAAGUAGUGUGAAUUGCAGAAUUCAGUGAAUCAUCGAAUCUUUGAACGCACCUUGCGCCCUUUGGCUAUUCCGAAGGGCAUGCCUGUUUGAGUAUCAUGAACACCUCAACCCUCAUGGUUUGCCAUGAUGGGCUUGGACUUUGGGGGUCUUGCUGGAUUGUGGUCCAGCUCCCCUUAAAUGGAUCAGCUUGCCAGUGUUUGGUGGCAUCACAGGUGUGAUAACUAUCUACGCUUGUGGUUUUACACCAGAUAACCUUCAGUGAUGGAGGUUCGCUGGAGCUCAUAAAGGUCCCUCCUCUGUGAGGACAGUUCUUCGAAUGUUUGAUCUCAAAUCAGGUAGGACUACCCGCUGAACUUAAGCAUAU